rnacentral:rRNA from 1 species
GUUGGUGUAGGUUCCCUAGAUCAAAACACCAAAGCAUAUAAACCCGAAAGAUUAAAUAUGAUUAUGAGAGAAAGAAGUAUACAUGGUGGUAUCGUUCCAUGACGUAGACAUGUGGCCUUGUGCUAUGUGCACCGUCGGGACGAAUCAUGCAUGUUGAGAAGAUCUCGGUGGUCCGUUGAUGUGUUGUUUGGCUUGAGCAACCAUUCAGCACAAAAGAGUGAAAUACUCUUGACGACUGAGAGGGCAGUCGAUAAUAAGGAUAAUGGUGGUCCUUAGAUGAGUGUUGUUUUGGCUUGGGCAACCAUUCAGCACAAAAGAGUUAAAUACUCUUGACGACUGAGCUGGGCAGUCGAUAAUCGAGUGAUGGCUGAAACCGCGCAGUCAAUCAUUCAUAAAGAACUGUUGCUAAACUGAAACUUAAAGGAAUUGACGGAAGGCAGCAAUGCAUUAUAAUUCUUUGACCGGGGUACCUAGCCUGUCAUAUGCUCUGAUGGUGUUCUCGUGACUUUUGUUGCCAGAUCUGCCAAGGGCGAUGGGAUAGUACGCGAUCUAAUGGUUGUGUGCAAGGUUUGAAGAAGGCUGUGUGCUAUAUGCAUGCGCCUCGCCCUGAUAAUGUUUACUUCAUUUUACACUGUUUAAGCGAUCCGGUUUGGCUUGCCAUUCACGGGUUUGCUGCUCCGCAUGCACCUGGCUUUAAGCUGGACUGCAUGUACGCUGGCCUGGUAGACUUGCGCCCGGGUUGCAGCCUCGAACCUUUAGUUCUAUGCAUCUGGGAAACCGGUGUGUAGGAUUAUUGGAGUACAACUUUGAGCGGUGGAUCACUCGGCUCGUGCGUCGAUGAAGAGUGCAGCCAACUGUGUGAAUUAAUGUGAACUGCAUACUGCUUUGAACAUCGACAUCUUGAACGCAUAUUGCGGCUACGGGAUAUCCUGUGGCCACGUCUGUCCGAGGGUCGGCUUUCCAUCUAUCACGAUGCACUUUAAGUCGUGGAUUGGGCGAGUGCCUGCCGGCGUGUAUACCCGUAUAUCAACGCGGGUUGCUGGUCUAAGGCUCUGUCCGAAUUUGUCCGGCCACAGCCUAGUCUGGUGUAGAACUUCUGAUUGAGUCGCCACGGUGGGUUGUGCUCGAGUCGUAGCUUAAUGAUAUAAAUAUAUAUAAACGCUCGGGAGUACAUGACCUAUCGUGAAUACCGUUAUAUAUUAAUAAACGGCUUGAUUGGAGGUCUAUGCAUAGUCUAUGGUUUAACCGAGAAUGUGUUAUGCACAUUAUAAAUUUUACCCUGACCUCGGAUCAGAUGUGAAUACCCGCUGAACUUAAGCAUAUCAAUAAGCGGAGGA